rnacentral:rRNA from 1 species
AAGGAUCAUUAUUGAAAAUAAACCUGAUAGGUUGCUGCUGGCUCUCUCGGGGGCAUGUGCACACUUGUCAUUUUUAUAUCUCCACCUGUGCACCUUUUGUAAAUCUGAAUAUCUCUCUGAAUGCCUGCCAUUCAGGUUUGGGGAUUGAUUUUUUUCUCUCCUUACAUUUUCAGGUUUAUGUUUUUUCAUAUACCCCAUGUAUGUUAUAGAAUGUAAUAAAUGGGCCUUUGUGCCUAUAAAUUUAUACAACUUUCAGCAACGGAUCUCUUGGCUCUCGCAUCGAUGAAGAACGCAGCGAAAUGCGAUAAGUAAUGUGAAUUGCAGAAUUCAGUGAAUCAUCGAAUCUUUGAACGCACCUUGCGCUCCUUGGUAUUCCGAGGAGCAUGCCUGUUUGAGUGUCAUUAAUAUAUCAACCUCUUCAGCUUUUGCAUGUUGAGUGUUGGAUGUGGGGGUAUUUUUGCUGGACUCUUUCCGAGGUCAGCUCCCCUAAAAUGCAUUAGCAAAACAAUUUGUUUACUGCUCAUUGGUGUGAUAACUAUCUACGCUAUUGACAGUCAAGCAGGUUUAGCUUCUAACAGUCCAUUAACUGGGACAAACCCAUUUUAUUAAUGUGACCUCAAAUCACGGUAGGAUUACCCGCUGAACUUAA